rnacentral:rRNA from 1 species
UACGGAGGGUCCAAGCGUUAUCCGGAUUUACUGGGUUUAAAGGGUGUGUAGGCGGAUUUUUAAGUCAGAGGUGAAAUCUCCAGGCUCAACCUGGAAACUGCCCCUGAUACUAUUAGUCUUGAAUAUUGAUGAGGUGGGCGGAACGGGUCAUGUAGCGGUGAAAUGCUUAGAGAUGACCCGGAACACCAAUUGCGAAGGCAGCUCACUGGGCAAUUAUUGACGCUGAGGCACGAAAGCGUGGGGAUCAAACAGG